AUACAGAGGGUGCAAGCGUUAAUCGGAUUUACUGGGCGUAAAGCGCGCGUAGGCGGCUAAUUAAGUCAAAUGUGAAAUCCCCGAGCUUAACUUGGGAAUUGCAUUCGAUACUGGUUAGCUAGAGUAUGGGAGAGGAUGGUAGAAUUCCAGGUGUAGCGGUGAAAUGCGUAGAGAUCUGGAGGAAAACCGAUGGCGAAGGAAGCCAUCUGGCCUAAUUCUGGCACUGAGGUGCGAAAGCAUGGGGAGCAAACAGGAUUAGAUACCCUGGUAGUCCAUGCCGUAAACGAUGUCUACUAGCCGUUGGGGCCCUUGAGGCUUAAGUGGCGCAGCUAACGCGAUAAGUAGACCGCCUGGGGAGUACGGUCGCAAGACUAAAACUCAAAUGAAUUGACGGGG
rnacentral:rRNA from 1 species